rnacentral:rRNA from 1 species
CCCUAGUGACCGAUAGUGAACCAGUACCGUGAGGGAAAGGUGAAAAGCACCCCGGGAGGGGAGUGAAAUAGAACCUGAAACCGUGUGCCUACAACAAGUUCGAGCCCGUUAAUGGGUGAGAGCGUGCCUUUUGUAGAAUGAACCGGCGAGUUACGUUAUGAUGCGAGGUUAAGUUGAAGAGACGGAGCCGUAGGGAAACCGAGUCUGAAUAGGGCGAAUUAGUAUCAUGACGUAGACCCGAAACCAUGUGACCUACCCAUGAGCAGGUUGAAGGUGCGGUAAGACGCACUGGAGGACCGAACCAGGGCACGUUGAAAAGUGCUUGGAUGACUUGUGGGUAGCGGAGAAAUUCCAAACGAACUUGGAGAUAGCUGGUUCUCUCCGAAAUAGCUUUAGGGCUAGCGUCGACAUUAAGAUUCUUGGAGGUAGAGCACUGUUUGGGUGAGGGGUCCAUCCCGGAUUACCA